UGCAAAUGCACUCUGUGUCACAUUGAAUUUACCUACAUGUGAAGACAAUUUGUUAGUUUGCUAUAUGAAAGAGAUGUGACUUAUCCAUGCAAUUAGUGCCGUAAAAGGUUGAUUGCAUUGAAAUCGCAUUUUACACUAU
rfam:Drosophila melanogaster chromosome 2R.